rnacentral:tRNA from 1 species
GCCAGCCUGGCAUAGUGGUUUGAGAGGUAGACUAUUUCUCUGGAGACCAGGGUUCGAUUCCCCACUCAGCCA